rnacentral:rRNA from 1 species
AUGUUCAUUGAGAAGUUUUUGUCUGAGCUGGAGGCGAUCCCCGACGGGAAAGAGGGACCCAGGGACCGAAAUGCAAAAUCCAAGGACCUGCAUGCAACGCCCAGGGACGUGCAUGUAACGCCCCGGGAGGAAUCAGUGCAGCGCGACCGACCAGUUCGGACGACCUGGCUCCCGCCGGCGAAGCAUGACGUGAAGAUUAAUGUUGACGGUGGCCUUUCCAAGGUUGGAGACCGAGGGGCUUCGGCGGUGAUCUGCAGGGAUAAGAAUGGCAUGUUUCUUGGGGCUUCCGCGGUUAUUUUCGAGGGUUUGCUUGACCCAACUACACUCGAAGCUCAGGCGUGCAACGAGGCCCUUGCUCUUGCCGCGGACCUCCAUGCUCAAUCCGUGUGUGUUGCAUCGGACUGCCUCGAGGUGAUCACCUAUAUCCAUACUGGUGCCUCAUGUCGAUACUUUGCUAUCUUGGAGGAGAUCAAGCACAGGAUGCGUUCAGAUCCAAGAUUUACAGUUUGUGCACGAGAAUAG